rnacentral:snRNA from 1 species
AUAUCUUUCUCGGUCUUUUGUCUAAGAUAAAGUACAAUAUCUACAAUUUAAUAUUUGGUAUAUGGAUCAUAUGUCCACUUUAAUUUUAAGUUUAUUUUUAUGGGUAGGAUCCACAUUAAUUUUUAAAUUAUUUUUUAUGGGGAGGGUCCAUCAUAUUGGCUUACACUAAGCCCUCGUGUGUCGUAUA